UUAAGGAAUUAGGCAAAUUUCCCCCGUACGUUCGCAAUAAGGGGGGCCUCCGGUGGUGAGCUUAAUCGCAAAGCUGCUGGAGGCCGCAGAGAAAUGGCUCUUCCAACUGUUUAACAAAAACACAGGUCUCUGCUAAGUCGAAAGACGAAGUAUAGGGGCUGACGCCUGCCCAGUGCUGGAAGGUUAAGGGGAGAGGUUAGGCGCAAGCCGAAGCUUUGAGCCGAAGCCCCAGUGAACGGCGGCCGUAACGAUAACGGUCCUAAGGUAGCGAAAUUCCUUGUCGGGUAAGUUCCGACCCGCACGAAUGGCGUAAUGAGAGGAGCACUGUCUCAACGAGGGACUCGGCGAACAUUGAAGGACGUGUGAAGAUACACGUGACCCGCAGCGGGACAAAAAGACCCCGUGAAGCUUUACUACAACUUGCCAUUGAGUUAGGGCUAAACCUGUGUAGUAUAGGUGGGAGGCUUUGAAGCUGGGACGCCAGUCUCGGUGGAGCCACCGUUGAAAUACCACCCUGGUUUAUUCUUGGCUCUAACCUGUCGCCGUUAUCCGGCAUGGGAACAGUGGCUGGUGGGUAGUUUGACUGGGGCGGUCGCCUCCGAAAGCGUAACAGAGGCGCCCAAAGGUUCCCUCAGGCUGAAUGGAAACCAGCCGAUGAGUGUAAAGGCACAAGGGAGCUUGACUGCAAGACCAACAAGUCGCGCAGGGACGAAAGUCGGGCUUAGUGAUCCCACGGUUCAGAGUGGAAUGGCCGUGGCUUACCGGAUAAAAGCUACUCCGGGGAUAACAGGGUAGUCUGGUCCAAGAGUUCAUAUCGACGACCAGGUUCGCCACCUCGAUGUCGGCUCAUCACAUCCUGGGGCUGGAUAAGGUCCCAAGGGUUGGGCUGUUCGCCCAUUAAAGUGGUACGUGAGCUGGGUUCAGACCGUCGUGAGACAGGUCGGUCUCUAUCCGCUGUGGGCGUAAGGGAUUUGAGAGAAGCUGCCCCUAGUACGAGAGGACCGGGGUGGACGGACCUCUAGUGUGCCAGUUGUUCUGCCAAGAGCAUUGCUGGGUAGCUACGUCCGGCAGAGAUAACCGCUGAAAGCAUCUAAGUGGGAAACUCGUCUCAAGAUUAGAUCCCUCAUCCGUAUGGAGUAAGACCGCUAGAAGACUACUAGUUUGAUAGGCGGCAGGUGUAAGCGCAGUAAUGUGUUCAGCUUAGCCGUACUAAUGGUCGAGGGCUUACGUUU
rnacentral:rRNA from 1 species